CAAGAUUAAGCCAUGCAUGUCUAAGUAUAAGCAAUCUAUACGGUGAAACUGCGAAUGGCUCAUUAAAUCAGUUAUCGUUUAUUUGAUAGUACCUUACUACUUGGAUAACCGUGGUAAUUCUAGAGCUAAUACAUGCUAAAAACCCCGACUUCGGAAGGGGUGUAUUUAUUAGAUAAAAAACCAAUGCCCUUCGGGGCUCCUUGGUGAUUCAUGAUAACUUAACGAAUCGCAUGGCCUUGUGCCGGCGAUGGUUCAUUCAAAUUUCUGCCCUAUCAACUUUCGAUGGUAGGAUAGUGGCCUACCAUGGUUUCAACGGGUAACGGGGAAUUAGGGUUCUAUUCCGGAGAGGGAGCCUGAGAAACGGCUACCACAUCCAAGGAAGGCAGCAGGCGCGCAAAUUACCCAAUCCCGACACGGGGAGGUAGUGACAAUAAAUACUGAUACAGGGCUCUUUUGGGUCUUGUAAUUGGAAUGAGUACAAUUUAAAUCCCUUAACGAGGAACAAUUGGAGGGCAAGUCUGGUGCCAGCAGCCGCGGUAAUUCCAGCUCCAAUAGCGUAUAUUAAAGUUGUUGCAGUUAAAAAGCUCGUAGUUGAACCUUGGGCCUGGCUGGCCGGUCCGCCUCACCGCGUGCACUGGUCCGGCCGGGCCUUUCCUUCUGGGGAGCCGCAUGCCCUUCACUGGGUGUGUCGGGGAACCAGGACUUUUACUUUGAAAAAAUUAGAGUGUUCAAAGCAGGCCUAUGCUCGAAUACAUUAGCAUGGAAUAAUAGAAUAGGACGUGUGGUUCUAUUUUGUUGGUUUCUAGGACCGCCGUAAUGAUUAAUAGGGAUAGUCGGGGGCAUCAGUAUUCAAUUGUCAGAGGUGAAAUUCUUGGAUUUAUUGAAGACUAACUACUGCGAAAGCAUUUGCCAAGGAUGUUUUCAUUAAUCAGUGAACGAAAGUUAGGGGAUCGAAGACGAUCAGAUACCGUCGUAGUCUUAACCAUAAACUAUGCCGACUAGGGAUCGGGCGAUGUUAUCUUUUUGACUCGCUCGGCACCUUACGAGAAAUCAAAGUUUUUGGGUUCUGGGGGGAGUAUGGUCGCAAGGCUGAACUAA
rnacentral:rRNA from 1 species